CCUACGGGAGGCAGCAGUAGGGAAUCUUCCACAAUGGGCGAAAGCCUGAUGGAGCCACGCCGCGUGGGUGAAGAAGGUUUUCGGAUUGUAAAACCCUGUUGUUAGAGAAGAAAGUGCGUGAGAGUAACUGUUCACGUUUGGACGGUACCUAACCAGAAAGCCAAGGCUAACUACGUGCCAGCAGCCGCGGUAAUACGUAGGUGGCAAGCGUUAUCCGGAUUGAUUGGGCGUAAAGGGAACGAAGGCGGUCUUUUAAGUCUGAUGUGAAAGCCUUCGGCUUAACCGGAGUAGUGCAUUGGAUACUGGUAGACUUGAGUGCAGAAGAGGAGGGUGGAACGCAAUGUGUAGCGGUGAAAUGCGUAGAUAUAUGGAAGAACACCAGUGGCGAAGGCGGCUCUCUGGUCUGUAACUGACGCUGAGGUUCGAAAGCGUGGGUAGCAAACAGGAUUAGAUACCCCAGUAGUC
rnacentral:rRNA from 1 species